AUUGGACGCUGGCGGCAGGCCUAACACAUGCAAGUCGAACGAGUGGCGGACGGGUGAGUAAUGUCUGGGAAACUGCCUGAUGGAGGGGGAUAACUACUGGAAACGGUCGAUAAUACCGCAUACAAUAAGAUGUGCCCAGAUGGGAUUAGCUUGUUGGUGGGGUAAAGGCUCACCAAGGCGAAGAUCCCUAGCUGGUCUGAGAGGAGGACCAUCCACACUGUAACUGAUCCACGGUCCAGACUCCUACGGGAGGCAGCAGUGGUGAAUAUUGCACAAUUGGCGCAACCCUGAUUCAGCCAUGCCGCGUGUAUGAAGAAGGCCUUCGGGUUGUAAAGUACUUUCAGCGGGGAGGCGUUACCCGCAGAAGAAGCACCUGCUAACUCCGUGCCAGCAGCCGCGGUAAUUC
rnacentral:rRNA from 1 species